rnacentral:lncRNA from 1 species
AGCGGAUCUUCGAGCUGGCCCGGACCUUGCAGCUGGUUGCCCUGGACGCCGACACCAUCAACCACCCAGCCCAGCUCUCUAAAACCUCGCUGGCCCCCAUCAUUGUUUACAUCAAGAUCACAUCCCCCAAGGUGAGUGCAGGAAGCUGGUGCUUAUGGUGGACACGGACUACAAGGCGCUUCUGGAGACAGGCGGGCUGCACGGGUCCUGGCCGGGUGCCUUGGCCUUAGUUUCCUUCUGUGUGAGUCUCAUGUGGAUAUAUGGAUGGAAAGAGUGGACACACUGCACCUCCUGUGAAUUCGAUAUUGUAAAUGUUAUUAGGGUUACACAGGUCGGUCUCAUUGCCAAUCUUCUGGUCCAUCACCGGGUCAGAAAAAUGAAAGAAACUGGUGUAGCUUGUUCCAAGGUUGCCCAGCUGUGUGGUGGUUGGAAAGUUUUGAAUCUUCUAAAGUCAGGCCUUUUUUGCUGUACAAAGUUGCUCCUGCGGGAC